rnacentral:guide_RNA from 1 species
AUCACCAACUAAUAAGUUAUUGAAUGAGAGAAAGUUAUAUAU